rnacentral:rRNA from 1 species
GAGUCAGUAGGUUGGUCGUGCCACCGGUACGUACUGGUCUCACUGAUUCCUCCUUCCUGAAGAACCGUAAUGCCAUUAAUUUGGUGUUGCGGGGAAGCAGGACUGUUACUUUGAAAAAAUUAGAGUGUUUAAAGCAAGCUAACGCUUGAAUACAUUAGUAUGGAAUAAUGAAAUAGGACGAUCGAUCCUAUUUUGUUGGUUUCUAGGAUUGACGUA